rnacentral:misc_RNA from 1 species
CAAUCAUAUAUUCCCAAUCAGGAGCCAUCUGUUUGAGCAGCAACUAGAAUAGUUACAGAGUAGAGAGCAGAGUUUAGGAGUUGAUAAAAAUGGCUAUUACACUCAACAGCGGAUUCAAAAUACCCAUAAUCGGUCUGGGUGUAUGGCGUAUGGAAGGGAAAGAGAUUACAGACCUCAUCAUUAAUGCCAUCAAGAUUGGUUAUCGCCAUUUUGACUGUGCUGAAAAUUUUGCUCCAGUUGUCUUUUAUCAUCUUGAAAACUAUGAGGGAGCAAAUGGGAUGGAUGGAUGGAUAGUUCCACAGGAAAAACUUAAUGCAUAUGAUUAGAUGUUUAUUCCUGGUCUGUUUGGGCAAUGUCUCUAUGUGGUUUCAGCAAAUGAUAUUUGAUGAUUUGAUGUUUGCUUGCAGCUGAUUACCAGAAUGAAGCAGAAGUAGGGGAAGCACUUGCUGAAGCUUUUCGGACAGGGCUUGUCAAGAGGGAGGACCUUUUCAUUACCACCAAGCUGUGGAAUUCAGACCAUGGACAUGUUAUUGAGGCCUGCAAAGAUAGUUUAAAAAAGCUUCAGCUUGAUUAUCUGGAUCUCUAUCUUGUUCACUUCCCCAUUGCCACAAAGCAUACUGGUGCUUUUGCUUACUCUUCUCAUUAUUAUGUGUUUAUCUGUAUUUUAAUCUGGACUUGUCAAUUUGGUGUCUGAACCUUAUGUUGUAUGGCAUGUUUGGCUGGAUAUGGAGAAAAUUUGUCGGGGAAUAUACAUGAAAAUUUUUUGAAGUUUUUGUAGCAUAUUGUUCUAAACUCCUAAUUAUAACAAGAAUGGUUUGUUGUCUUCACUACAUAAUAAAUGGAGUCAGACCUACACUGGCUGCUUAGCUUCUGUUGCUUUUAUAUCUGAUUUACAGUUUCCAACAGCAUUUAGGGAAUUGGCACUAGAGCAAAAAUCUCCUGUUUCUUUAAUUUACAUGUUGACCCUGAAAAUAAUUUCUCAUUCUGAAAAAUUUUGCUGUAUUUGCAUCCUCAUGCAGGAGUGGGUACAACUGACAGUGCCUUAGACGAGGAUGGAGUGCUGGAUAUAAACACAACUGUGUCGUUGGAAACUACCUGGCAUGCUAUGGAAGAUUUAGUUUCCAUGGGUUUAGUCCGUAGCAUUGGAAUCAGGUGCAUUGAGUGCAUAAAAUUUCUGAAGUUGCUUCUUUAGGUAUCUUGGAAACUUAGAUAAUGAAGAUGACAAUUCUUGUAGCUGUGGCUGUUGGAAACACAUCUUUUAUGGGCUCGGCAGAACCACAUUGUCCUUGAUAAUUAUGUGCUUUUAACAAAGAGUCAACAUUCCACAAAAGGACUCCAAUAGGUUCAUGAGAGUCCAACUACCUUGGAUAUUUGUCAUCCUGAACCUGAAGUGAAAAUUGGUGAUAAUAUGAUAUCAUAGUCAUGGAUAAUACUUUUUCUUCCUUUCUUUUUUCCUGUCUUGUUACUUUUCUUUUCCGGAAUGAUGCAAACAAAUUGCCAAAGCAGUAUCCUAUUGUUUCGCAUUGCAUUAUACGGGAUUAUUUUUUCUUUUUAAAUUGAAUUACAUCACUAUGAAUACUUAGAGAAUGUAUAUGGUGUGAUAUCAAAUAUUUAAUUAUUUGAAUCGCUACACUCCUUCCUUCCCCAGCCAGUGGAUGUAAUACCAAAAACAGGUGUAGAGGCUGUUAACUUUAUUUAUAUUUGACUUUUCAGUAACCUGCAUAUCAAGAUCAAUUUUUAGGUUUGGAAUUGUGUUCUGAUAAGAAGUUUAUUUGCAGCAACUAUGACAUCUUUCUUACUAGAGAUUGCUUAGCCUACUCAAAAGUGAAGCCUGCCGUGAAUCAAAUAGAAACACACCCAUACUUCCAGCGUGAUUCUCUUGUCAAGUUUUGUCAGAAGCAUGGACUCUGCGUUACGGCUCACACGCCUCUUGGAGGUGCUGCAGCUAAUAUUGAAUGGUUUGGUUCUGUAUCAUGUCUGGAUGAUCCUGUUCUCAAAGUAAGUUUACUGUCUAAAGUUCAUUUUGAUCAGUUUUUAUGCCUGAGACCAAAUUGUCUUUAGCAGCAUUCUUUUAUCAUGAAUCGUCGAUCUCUCAUUUUCCUCGUGUAAGGGUUUGGCCGAGAAAUACAAGAAAACUGUGGCUCAAAUUGUUCUGCGAUGGGGCGUCCAGCGAAACACAGUGGUCAUCCCCAAGUCAUCAAAAAUUGAGAGACUGAAGGAGAAUUUUGAAGUAUUUGACUUCGAGUUGAGCAAAGAGGACAUGGACCUGAUCAAAAGUGUGGACAAGAGCUACCGGACCAACCAGCCUGCCAAGUUUUGGGGAAUAAAUCUGUUUGCUUAAGCAUGUCCGUGGUUCUAUCUUUUUGAAAUGUUUCUGCAGAGAAUAAGACCAAACAAGACAUUUCUCAUUUGUACCGAUUGCUCAAUUGCAUCUGCUGUGUUACAAUUGACAACAUUCUCAAGCGUCUUUGUAAAACUACCGAAAAAAAAAAAAACACUAGAGAUUCAAUUCCAGGAAGCACUUCUCUAGUUUUGACAGAUCAACUUUCUUUUUUCGUGAUGAAAUGAAGAAUGUAGAAAUUAGAAAAGCAAGUGAUUAAUUAGGGAAGUAAACACUUCUUGAAUAUCGCCUACUUAGUUGCAGACUAAUUAAAGAAAAGCAGAAAACCAAACCUCAUUGAAUCUAAAUCAACCUGACACAGUGUUAGCUUCAUAAUGAAACUCCCAAGUACUGAACAAAAAUAUCCUGACACAACUGGCCCAUCCAGGAUAUGUGCUUGCAGGGGAGUACUCAAGCUAUUGAUAAAGAAAAAGAGACUGCAAAGUUUAGAGAAAGGGAUAGAAGAGCAAGCAAGAAAACAGAAGAAAAUGAUGAGAAAGGAGAGAGA